GUCCACGCCCUAAACGAUGCGAGCUCGAUGUGGGAGGUUCUCAAUUGCCUUCCGUGUCUUAGCUAACGCGGUAAGCUCGCCGCCUGGGAAGUACGGUCGCAAGACUAAACUCAAAGGAAUAGACGGGGACCCACACAAGCGGUGGAGCAUGGGGUUUAAUUCGAUAAUAAGCGAAGAACCUCACCUAGGCUUGACAUCUCGGGAAGCUUCCAGAAACGGAGGCGUGCCGCAAGGAACCCGAAGACAGGCGCUGCACGGUUGUCGU
rnacentral:rRNA from 1 species